GGAGGGCGCAAGCGUUGUUCGGAAUCAUUGGGCGUAAAGAGCGUGUAGGCGGUCGGGCAAGUCGGAUGUGAAAUCCCGAGGCUCAACCUCGGAACUGCAUUCGAAACUGCCCGACUAGAGUCCCGGAGAGGGUGGCGGAAUUCCCAGUGUAGAGGUGAAAUUCGUAGAUAUUGGGAGGAACACCAGCGGCGAAGGCGGCCGCCUGGACGGUGACUGACGCUGAGACGCGAAAGCGUGGGGAGCAAACAGGGAUUAGAUACCCUGGUAGUCCACGCCGUAAACGUUGGGUGCUAGGUGUCGCGGGUAUUGACCCCCGACGGUACCGAAGCUAACGCGUUAAGCACCCCGCCUGGGGAGUACGGUCGCAAGACUA
rnacentral:rRNA from 1 species